GAGAUCAUUUUAAAAAUAGCCGUUGCUUGCAUUGUGCUUGGGGGGGCAAAGACACAAUUUGGGGGGACAAUGCCCCCCUCAGCCCCCCCCUAGCGCCGGCCCUGGAUCGAGACGUUAUCUUAUGCAAAUUAGGUGCCUACGUCAUUUAGAGACUUCUAGGACAGCCAAUAGCUGCUUCCCUUACUGAGGAGUUAAAGGUGCAUGAUGAGUGCAGUUACAGGAACAGAGUCAGUGUACCGAGGUGGAAGUGAGUUUAUUUGUACGCAGGCGAACACACACAAGGUAAAAAAGUCUUAAACUAUAAAGAAAAAAGGAAAUGGAGGUUUUCGGUGUUCCGACCCCACCGAUGGAGCAGUAAUGGCGGGACAUGAGUAGCACAUGGACUGUAACAGAGGACUGUGCUUAAACUACUGAAACAUUCUCUCAUGGCUUCACACUCACAGCUCCUCUAUCUUUGGCAGAUACAAGCUCCAAGAGAAGAUCCAGGUGAGUCCAGCAUUCUGUCACUGAGCUCAAACUACUGUUAAAGCCUGUGAUGAUGCUCAUAGUGAUGUUGAGUGUUGAGUGAUGUUUAACCUACAUACAGCAUCCACAUACAGGCCGCUCCUACCAGCUAGCUCAGCUUCAGCUAGAGCCAUGGCGAGUGAUAUCCCAGUCCCAUAUCCCAGUCCCAUACUCCACCCAGAGGAGGACCCAGGAGGACACACACACACACACACUGUAAGAGAAACUCAGGAAGAUCUUGAGGACAGUGCAUAUGCACACACAGAACUGACACUGGAGCACAAACACGUGUGUACCAACAAAAAGCUUUAAUAAGCUCAUGCCCAGCACACCACUGAGAAAACACCAACACAAACUGUAUGGCUAUGGGAGGUGAUGGGUUACUGCACCCUUGUAAGCAGAUACAAGAACAAAUCUCACCACGGAAGUUCUAUGUUGUAGACUGAAGAUCCCAGGUGAAGAAGGUGGCCGGUGAAGCAGCAGCAGCUGAAAAUCAGAACUGGAUCCUGGAUUGAGAUUCUGAUUCUGAAGAGGAAGCUUCUGAAAAUCAUCGGAGCUUCAUGCUGCCGGAAAACAAGGCUGAUGAUGCCCACCAGGAAACCAUGAACCUGCAGGUGGAGACCGAGGACGUUAAUGGUCUGGAUGGAUGUGAAGAUCAUGGUCUGGGAUGCAGGAGAUGGAGGUAAUGGAAGAGUCAACGGUGACACAGACUCACUCCACCUACUGGUAUGGUGUGAUGAAGGAGGUAAAGGAGAUAAAGACAGAGGAUGUCUGAGAGAUUGUGAAGUUUCUUCUGGAUAAAAUAGAGCAACAGAUCAAAUCCCAAAUGCUGAGGACAGCUGGGGAUGGAACCCAGCAUUAGAUGGAAGAAAUCAAGGUGGAGACUAAAGAGGCUGAGGCCAGUUAUGAGCAACCUCUAGCAGAAAAACUCCAGAAUGAAGCUCCUGGAUGAAGCAGAGAAUCAAACCCUUCAGAAGAAGAAGAGGGUGAGAAGAGGAACAAGCUGAGGGUGAAACCCAGCAGAAUAUGGAGGAGAUGAAGGUGAUGGACAUGGUGGACGUUACAUCAGAGGACACAUAAAAGCUAAACGUCAUCCUGGAGGAGACUGAGGCCAGUAACGAGCAACCUCUGGCAGAAGAGUCCAGAGUGAAGCUCUUGGAUGAAGCCAAGGAUGAAAGUCUUCAGAAGAAGAAGAGGGUGAAGAGAGGAACAAGAGGACGUGGACGUAAAAUCCACUAUAAAAAGAAGGAAGAAGGAAAACCAGAGGCAGAGGGUUUUGGAGAGCAGAUCGAGCUCCAAAUGAUGAUGACAUCUGAGGAUGACACCCAGCAGGAGAUCGAGGUGAUCACGGAGAUGUGGGAGCUCAAAGUUACUGAAGAAAUCAAGGAGAUGGAGGAGAUAACAGUGGAGACUGAAGAGGCUGAGGCAUGCAGUGAGCAACCUCUGGUCCAGAGUGAAGCUCCUGGAUGAAGUAAAGAAUGAAACCCUGCAGAAGAAGAAGAGGGUGAGAAGAGAGAGGAACAUGAGGACAGCUCCAAAUGCUGAUGACAGCUGAGGGUGAAACCCAGCAGGAGAUGAUGUGAUCAAGAAGAUGGAAGAAAUCAUAGAGAUGGAGGAGAUAACAGUGGAGACAGAAGAGGCUGAGGCCUGUAAUGAGCAACCACAUCAGUAGAUCAUGAUCAUCAUCAACAUCAAUCCUGCUGCUAACACAAAACACUUUCAGCAGAACAAGAAGCCACCUUCUGGUAUGGGCAGAGGAACACUGAUGCAGGACCCAACUACUGCUACCAAUAUUAGCAGCAGCACCCACAACAAGCCACCUACUGGUAUGUGGAGAGCAAUGCUGUUGGAGGAAGCUGGUAUGGACCAAAAUGCAGGGGUAAAUAACCUGGAGCUCCCAGAGACCGUGAGGAGAAGAAACAUUUGAACACCAGCAGCACCAAAAUAAAUUUAAAUAAAAGCAUUUAAAAUACAAA